UACCACCGCCAAGAUAACACCGCCCUAUAUCCCACAUUCACCGUUUUGGAAUUUUAGGUCGUACAAUUUACAAUAGUUUGGGACCACAUCUUACUCUUUUUGCUGGUUGUUCUACUUAUGUUUUGUAUGCUGGAUCAUUCCUUUACUAUAAUCAAUUACCAUCACCAGGCUUUUGCCAUAAUUGCUGGCGCCUUGCUCGGAAUUUGUGCCGAAAUUUUGUGGGCGGCGCAGGGUGCGAUCAUGACCUCAUACCCACCACAUGAUCGAAAAAGGACAUACAUUUCCAUCUUCUGGAGUAUUUUCAAUAUGGGGGGUGUCAUAGGUGUUAGAUUUGUGACUCUCAAUUGGAUUGGGAGUCUUUGAUUGCGUGUUGGAAUUAAAAUUGCAAAAGGAAUCAAAGUGGCAGACAAAAGGAAAGGAAUAAAUUGGUAUCCAAAUCCGAGUGAAAUUAAGGAAAGAAAUAUUAUUUUAGGUCGUACAAUUUACAAUAGUUUGGGACCACAUCUUACUCUUUUUGCUGGUUGUUCUACUUAUGUUUUGUAUGCUGGAUCAUUCCUUUACUAUAAUCAAUUACCAUCACCAGGCUUUUGCCAUAAUUGCUGGCGCCUUGCUCGGAAUUUGUGCCGAAAUUUUGUGGGCGGCGCAGGGUGCGAUCAUGACCUCAUACCCACCACAUGAUCGAAAAAGGACCUACAUUUCCAUCUUCUGGAGUAUUUUCAAUAUGGGGGGUGUCAUAGGUGUUAGAUUUGUGACUCUCAAUUGGAUUGGGAGUCUUUGAUUGCGUGUUGGAAUUAAAAUUGCAAAAGGAAUCAAAGUGGCAGACAAAAGGAAAGGAAUAAAUUGGUAUCCAAAUCCGAGUGAAAUUAAGGAAAGAAAUAUUAUGGGAGUGGAAAGAUCAAACUACAUCCAGUUGGAACGAAAUUGAACAAUAUCACGCUGCCUCUUUUUCUCCUUUUUUUUCACGUUUAACCUAUAAUUUCUACCUUUUUAGGACCCUUUUAGCGCUAGACUCGUGUGGUAUAAAUAUGAGUCUCCUCUUUUAGUAUUGUUGAAGCCAAUUGCUAUAAUUCUCUCAUUUCAUAAUGAUUGAAUAAAAUAACAUCGUUCCUUUGUUAGUUCCUUUUUAUUUUGCAUCUUUUACUUUAAUCUUGUUCUUGGUUAUUUUGUGAUCUUUAUUUAUACUUCACAUU
rnacentral:lncRNA from 1 species